UCUGAGUGUGUUUAUACGUGCCUGUGAACAGUCUGCCUGCUAGGUGUCCAAGGACCGGGUGCUGGGCCGGGUGCUGCAGAAACUGAGCCGCUUCGCAGACGAGCGGACCCCCAAGGUGCGACCCCAGGUCUUCCACAAGGUGCUGGGUGGCUUACAGCCCUGGGUGUUUUGCUUACCUGACCUCUGUGUCGCCAUCGAGUUUUCCAGUCGUCUGUUUCCUCCUGUAAUGCACAGCGUUGAGAUUGCCUGCAAUGACAACAAGCUCAGUCCGAUGAUGCUGUGACACACCGCCACAGACCAUGACGGACCCUUAAACUAGCCAGCAGCAUACCACCCUGCAUACCACUGCUGGCUUGUUUUUGAAGCUAAGCAGGGUUGGUUCUGGUCAGUCCCUGGAUGGGAGCCCAGAUAUGGCUGGAAGUGGUGUUGGAGGACCAGUAGGAGGCACUCUUUCCUCUGGUCUAAAAAAUAUCCCAAUACCACAGGGCAGUGAUUGGGGACACUGCCCUGUGUAGGUUGCUGUCUUUUGGAUGGGAUGUUAAACGGGUGUCCUGACUCUCUAAGGUCAUUAAACAUCCCAUGGCACUUAUUGUAAGAGUAGGGAAUGGUAACCUGGCUAAAUUCCCAAUCUGGCCUUCAAACCAUCACAGUCACCUAAUAAUCCCCAGUUUACAAUAGGCUCAUUCAUAUCCUGUAACUAUUCCCCAAGUUGUUACUGUAAAUGAGAAUGUGUUCUCACUCAACUUACCUGGUAAAAUAAUGGAUAAAUAAAAAAUUAAUAAAAUGAAAAACCCUCCAAAUCGCUCCAGAGUACAGGCCUUGGUGUAAUGCUCAUUCCUUUGACGAUAAACGCGAAUCCGAGCAUCACCUCUGGUGAGACAAAACCAUGACUCGUCAGUGAAGAGCACUUUUUGCCAGUCCUGUCUGGUCCAGCGACGGUGGGUUUGUACCCAUAGGCGACGGUGAUGUCUGGUGAGGACCUGCCUUACCACAGAAUUCAGAAUGGUACA
rnacentral:lncRNA from 1 species